GUGGGCUACGGAGACAUGGUCCCCACCACCAUCGGGGGGAAAAUCGUGGGCUCCCUGUGUGCCAUCGCGGGGGUGUUAACCAUUGCCUUACCCGUGCCCGUCAUCGUCUCCAAC
rfam:Calypte anna contig55190, whole genome shotgun sequence.